rnacentral:rRNA from 1 species
CCAACAGGGAUUGCCUCAGUAACGGCGAGUGAAGCGGCAACAGCUCAAAUUUGAAAUCUGACCUCCGCCGGGGUCCGAGUUGUAAUUUGUAGAGGCUGUUUCGGGUACGGUCCCGGUCUAAGUUCCUUGGAACAGGACGUCAUGGAGGGUGAGAAUCCCGUGUGUGACCGGGGACCACGCCCAUGUGAAACACCUUCGACGAGUCGAGUUGUUUGGGAAUGCAGCUCAAAAUGGGUGGUAAAUUUCAUCUAAAGCUAAAUACCGGCCAGAGACCGAUAGCGCACAAGUAGAGUGAUCGAAAGAUGAAAAGCACUUUGGAAAGAGAGUUAAAAAGCAUGUGAAAUUGUUGAAAGGGAAGCGGAAGCAACCAGACUCGCUGCCGGGUGCUCAACCGGGGUUCUCCCCGGGGCACUCACCCGGUCUCGGGCCAGCAUCGGUUCGGACGGCCAGACAAAGGCUCCGGGAAUGUAGCUCCCUCUCGGGGGAGUGUUAUAGCCCGGGGUGGCAUGUGGCCAGCCCGGACCGAGGAACGCGCGUUUUGCACGGAUGCUGGCGUAAUGGUUGUUCCCGGCCCGUCUUGAAACACGGACCAAGGAGUCUAACAUCUAUGCGAGUAUUUGGGUGUCAAACCCACAUGCGGAAUGAAAGUGAACGGAGGUGAGAGCUCGCACGGGCGCAUCAUCGACCGAUCCUGAUGUCUUCGGAUGGAUUUGAGUAAGAGCAUAGCUGUUGGGACCCGAAAGAUGGUGAACUAUGCCUAACUAGGGUGAAGCCAGAGGAAACUCUGGUGGAGGCUCGCAGCGGUUCUGACGUGCAAAUCGAUCGUCAAAGUUGGGUAUAGGGGCGAAAGACUAAUCGAACCAUUGUCACUGCUAGGUGGUUAAGAGGCAGGACUGGGCCCCGGGAUGUCACCCGGAGCCGCCUGCUUAGUUCUUCGACACGAGGAGCAACACCGUCAAAUUGCGGGGACCUCCCGGGCCGCACUGCCCGGGACGAUCCGCAGCGAACCUCUCCGGGCCCGCCCCGGAGGGACAGUCCACAGGCUAGACGACGGUGGGUGCCGCCGCGGCACUUGAGGGAUAGUCGGACCCGGGCGUCAGCCGCCCCGGGGCGCAUUGCUAGUAGCUGGUUCCUGUCGAAGUUUCCCUCAGGAUAGCAGUAACGUUUUCAGUUUUAUGAGGUAAAGCGAAUGAUUAGAGGCCUUGGGGUUGAAACAACCUUAACCUAUUCUCAAACUUUAAAUAUGUAAGAAGCUCUUGUUGCUUAGUUGAACGUGAGCAUUUGAAUGUAUCGUUACUAGUGGGCCAUUUUUGGUAAGCAGAACUGGCGAUGCGGGAUGAACCGAACGCGAGGUUAAGGUGCCGGAAUGCACGCUCAUCAGACACCACAAAAGGUGUUAGUUCAUCUAGACAGCCGGACGGUGGCCAUGGAAGUCGGAACCCGCUAAGGAUCGUGUAACAACUCACCGGCCGAAUGAACUAGCCCUGAAAAUGGAUGGCGCUCAAGCGUGCUACCCAUACCUCGCCGUCGGGGCAGAUACGAUGCCCCGACGAGUAGGCAGGCGUGGAGG